CCUUAGAGUUUGAUCCUGGCUCAGAAUCAACGCUGGCGGCGCGCCUAACACAUGCAAGUCGAACGCGAGGAUCCCGCAAGGGAUUAGUAGAGUGGCAAACGGGUGAGUAACACGUGGGUGACCUGCCUUCGAGCGGGGGAUAACAUCCCGAAAGGGAUGCUAAUACCGCAUGACAUCCUGCUUUUGAAUAAGUGGAGAUCAAAGCCGGGGAUCGCAAGACCUGGCACUCGAAGAGGGGCCCGCGCCCGAUUAGCUAGUUGGUGAGGUAACGGCCCACCAAGGCUUCGAUCGGUAGCCGGCCUGAGAGGGCGGACGGCCACACUGGGACUGAGACACGGCCCAGACUCCUACGGGAGGCAGCAGUGGGGAAUUGUUCACAAUGGGCGCAAGCCUGAUGACGCAACGCCGCGUGGAGGAUGAAGAUCUUCGGGUCGUAAACUCCUUUCGAUCGAGACGAACGACUUCCGGGCUAAUCACCGGGAGAGUGACGGUACCGAGAGAAG
rnacentral:rRNA from 1 species